GGUGAGGUGGCAGAGUGGUUAUGCGUUCGCCUGCAGAGCGAACCUAUAUGGGUUCAAAUCCCAUCCUCACCU
rnacentral:tRNA from 1 species